AUUGAACGCUGGCGGCAGGCCUAACACAUGCAAGUCGAGCGGAUGAAGGGAGCUUGCUCCUGGAUUCAGCGGCGGACGGGUGAGUAAUGCCUAGGAAUCUGCCUGGUAGUGGGGGAUAACGUCCGGAAACGGGCGCUAAUACCGCAUACGUCCUGAGGGAGAAAGUGGGGGAUCGUCGGACCUCACGCUAUCAGAUGAGCCUAGGUCGGAUUAGCUAGUUGGUGGGGUAAAGGCCUACCAAGGCGACGAUCCGUAACUGGUCUGAGAGGAUGAUCAGUCACACUGGAACUGAGACACGGUCCAGACUCCUACGGGAGGCAGCAGUGGGGAAUAUUGGACAAUGGGCGAAAGCCUGAUCCAGCAAUGCCGCGUGUGUGAAGAAGGUCUUCGGAUUGUAAAGCACUUUAAGUUGGGAGGAAGGGCAGUAAGUUAAUACCUUGCUGUUUUGACGUUACCAACAGAAUAAGCACCGGCUAACUUCGUG
rnacentral:rRNA from 1 species